GCGAGUUACCGCAAAACUCCAUAACCCUUUGUGAACCUACCUACUGUUGCCUCGGCGUCGCGCUGCGGCUGACGCCCGCCCCUACCCGCCCUACCCGGGAGAGGAGGGGGCGGGCCUCAGCCGGCUGAACCAGCCCGCCAAAGGACCUACAAACCAAACCCUAAAUCAAACGUACCUUCUGAAGAAUAAAAAAAAGAAUCAACUUUGAAACUUAAAUAAGUCA
rnacentral:misc_RNA from 1 species